rnacentral:rRNA from 1 species
UACGUAGGUGGCAAGCGUUGUCCGGAUUUACUGGGCGUAAAGAGCGCGCAGGCGGUGCGAUCAGUCGAAUGUGAAAGCCCCCGGCUCAACUGGGGAGGGUCAUUCGAUACUGUCGGACUCGAAGGCAGGAGAGGGAAGCGGAAUUCCCGGUGUAGUGGUGAAAUGCGUAGAUAUCAAGCGGAACACCGGUGGCGAAGGCGGCCCACUGGAUCGGUACUGACGCUGAGGUGCGAAAGCGUGGGGAGCGAACAGG